UUCCGGUUGAUCCCGCCGGAGGCCAUUGCUAUCGGAGUCCGAUUUAGCCAUGCUAGUCGAGCGAGGUUAGCCCUCGCGGCGAACAGCUCAGUAACACGUGGCCAAGCUACCCUGCAGAGGGGGACAGCGUCGGGAAACUGACGGGAAUCCCCCAUACCGGUCUCACGCUGGAAUGCCGAGACCGACAAACGCUCCGGCGCUGCAGGAUGCGGCUGCGGCCGAUUAGGUUGUCGGUGGGGUAACGACCCACCGAGCCGAUAAUUGGUACGGGGUGUGAGAGCACGAGCCCGGAGACGGAAUCUGAGACAAGAUUCCGGGCCCUACGGGGCGCAGCAGGCGCGAAACCUUUACACUGCACGAACGUGCGAUAAGGGGACUCCGAGUGCGAGGGCAUACAGUCCUCGCUAUUGUGUACCGUAGGGUGGUACACGACCAAGAGCUGGGCAAGACCGGUGCCAGCCGCCGCGGUAAUACCGGCAGCUCGAGUGAUGGCCGAUUUUAUUGGGCCUAAAGCGUCCGUAUCUGGCCCUGCAAGUCCGUCGGGAAAUCCACUCGCCUAAUUAGUGUUCGUCCGGCGGAAACUCCAGGGC
rnacentral:rRNA from 1 species